GGCCGCGUGGCGCACUGGAGCGCGCCUGACGCGCUGGCGUUGCGCCAGGUCGUGCCCGAGAACCGCCUGCGCGUGUACGACACCCGCAAGGCCA
rnacentral:tRNA from 1 species